GUGCGUUUUACCAUAUAGUAGUUACUAUGCGUUUUAACAUAUAGUAGUUAUUGUUUGUUAACUUAUAGUAGUUAUUGUUUGUGUUAACACACAGUAGUUAUUGUUUGUGUUAACAUAUAGUAGUUAUUGUUUGUGUUAACACACAGUAGUUAUUGUUUGUGUUAACAUAUAGUAGUUAUUGUUUGUGUUAACACACAGUAGUUAUUGUUUGUGUUAACAUAUAGUAGUUAUUGUGCGUGUUAAUAUACAUUUGUUUCUGUGCGUGUUUACAUAUAGUAGUUUUUGUGAGUGUUAACAUAUAGUACUUAUUGUUUGUGUUAACAUAUAGUAGUUAUGUUACAUGUUAACAUAUAGUAGUUUUUGUUUCUGUUAACAAAUAGUAGUUAUUAUGCAUGUUAACGUAUAGUAGUUAUUGUGCGUGUUAACAUACAAUAGUUAUUGUUUGUGUGAACAUAUAAUAUUUAUUGUUUGUUUUAACAUAUACUAGUUAUUGUUUGUGUUAACAUAUAGCAGUUAUUGUGCAUGUUAACAUCUAGUAGUAAUUGUGCAUGUUAACAUAUAGGAGUUAUGUUGCGUGUUAACAUAUAGUAGUUAUUGUGAGUUUUAACAUAUAGUAGUUUUUGUGAGCGUUACCUUACAGUAGUCAUGUUGAGUGGUAACAGAUACUUGUCAUUGUGCGUGUCAACAUAUAGUAGUUAAUGUUUGUGGUAACAUAUAGUAGUUAUUGUGCGUGUUAACAUAUGCUAGUUAUUGAGAGUGUUAACAUAUA
rnacentral:lncRNA from 13 species